GACGAACGCUGGCGGCGUGCUUAACACGUGCAAGUCGAACGGAAAGGCCCUGCUUUUGUGGGGUGCUCGAGUGGCGAACGGGUGAGUAACACGUGAGUAACCUGCCCUUGACUUUGGGAUAACUUCAGGAAACUGGGGCUAAUACCGGAUAGGAGCUCCUGCUGCAUGGUGGGGGUUGGAAAGUUUCGGCGGUUGGGGAUGGACUCGCGGCUUAUCAGCUUGUUGGUGGGGUAGUGGCUUACCAAGGCUUUGACGGGUAGCCGGCCUGAGAGGGUGACCGGCCACAUUGGGACUGAGAUACGGCCCAGACUCCUACGGGAGGCAGCAGUGGGGAAUAUUGCACAAUGGGCGGAAGCCUGAUGCAGCAACGCCGCGUGCGGGAUGACGGCCUUCGGGUUGUAAACCGCUUUCGCCUGUGACGAAGCGUGAGUGACGGUAAUGGGUAAAGAAGCACCGGCUAACUACGU
rnacentral:rRNA from 1 species